GAUGAACGCUAGCAGAACGCCUAACACAUGCAAGUCGAACGAGAAGCUUACUUCGGUAAGUAGAAAGUGGCAGACGAGCGAGUAACGCGUACUUAACCUACCCUCGNAGACGAGAACAACUAUGGAGACAUAGCUAAUUCUCGAUAUGCUCACGAUGGUGAAAUUCCAAUGUGAGGAAAGAUUUAUCGCUCGGGGAGGGGGGUGCGUCCUAUCAGGUUGUUGGUGAGGUAACGGCUCACCAAGCCUACGACGGGUAGCUGGUCUGAGAGGAUGGCCAGCCACACCGGGACUGAGACACGGCCCGGACUCCUACGGGAGGCAGCAGUGGGGAAUUUUGGGCAAUGGGCGCAAGCCUGACCCAGCGACGCUGCGUGGAGGAAGAAGCCCUUCGGGGUGUAAACUCCUGUCACCGGGGACGAAGCUUAUCNGGUUAAUAGCCCUGAUGAGUGACGGUACCCGGAGAGGAAGGGACGGCUAACUACGUGCCAGCAGCCGCGGUAAUACGUA
rnacentral:rRNA from 1 species